UGCGGCGUGAGGCGUCCCGCGCCUAUCCGCCGGUUCCAAACGUUGGUUUCGAACGACCGUCGGCGCCGGCUCGUCAGGCGUCGACGUCCGUGAGGAAUGC
rnacentral:misc_RNA from 1 species